AUCGAGAUUUCGGUUUCUUUGUACUCACCGCAGCGGGGGUGAAAUAAUACUGAGUUGAAGGACUUUUACGCUUCAAAUACCAUCUUGGAUGGAAAUAUUCAAGCGUCAUGCUGGAGGCUUCCACAUCCGCAUGGAGUUCGGGCCACGUGCCGUGAGACGCUCCCGUCUUUGCGGGGCCAGCACGCAAACGAUUGCAUAGAGCCUGUAGAUGAAACCUCGGCAAACGCGUGCAAAACGCUAAUAAACCAUGACAGUCGCCGCGGGUGGAAGUGCCUCAGCGUUCCAGCGACCCGCGAGGUGCCGAGUUCCUCGGAAGCGCUCGCCACGGCACCGGACACGUAGCGCCAGACGACGCGCGGCGUCAGCACCUCUAGGCGUUGCGUUUAGGGCCCUCGGCUCCAUGCUGCACGAUGCCCGUGCCGCACAGUGCGCUUCCUCGCCUGCUGCUGACGCCAGCGCUGGUGAAACAAUGCCAGACAUACCCACUCCGUGCCGUUACGUAUUCGGUGCCCGCGGUGUUCACUGGUCAAUGCAUUCGAUCUUCACAACAAAGCGGCUGCUGCGAAUGCCAAAGGAACAGAUCCAGCUUUGCACGCGACCCGUUCCGCUUGGUUGCCAAUACGAGGAAACCGCUCAGGUCCGUGGCGCUGCACACUGCUAACGAUGCCUGGAUGGUAUGGAAUGCGGGACGGCAAUGCAGCCGCUUCGAUAGAGUUUACAUGCCCGAUGCAGCUCGUACCUCAAUUGAUUCAGGCGCGGGGAACCCAGGCUAGAUGAAUCCCUAAUUGACUUCGGAAUGCAUCUCAUUGUUCUCCAGGGGAGUUCCACGGUGUUCGUAGGAGAACGUAUCGCCUCGCUGGCCGCACAGGAGCAAUCCGCGGCGACUCCCCGUGCAGCUGAUCCAUGCUCGCCAUCCAGCCUGCAAUGAUGGCAUAAAGUGUUAGGUACCACGUUGUUUUUGGUGCGGUCUCGGUGCGAGAUCGCGUUUACUCCUCUGAAACCCGGCUGUCUAGCCAACUGCGAACAUUCGGCAUGAUCGUUCACAGGUGCUACCAAAAUUCCGGCAUGCGCGACGCAUGUACUGUAUAGGCAGCUGGCUUUCGGAAAUCAUCUUGCGUUUUGGAGCAGUAAGCAUCGCACUCGGCCUCGGAUAGAGACUGGGAACGCUGGCAUCGAUACCGAAUGAACAAAUGGCAGCGUGCAGUCGAACACGACUGCUUCAUACAAAACAGUCGAUCGAACCGCACACAGAGCACACACAGACGAGUCAAGAACGUAUCGACUAGACCAGGGCGCCGGUUCCCAUACACGCUGCAAGCACAGCAUCGCACCCGCGGCAGACAGCUAUUACAGGGUAUCUCGCGCCAAUGACCAGGCCACAGACCGGUGUGCAGCGCGGAAUUCAGCA